rnacentral:rRNA from 1 species
CGCUGGCGGCGCGCCUAACACAUGCAAGUCNAGCGAGAACCAGGGCUUCGGCCCUGGGGACAGCGGCGAACGGGUGAGUAACACGUGGAUAACCUGCCCUCGGCACCGGAAUAGCCCGGGGAAACCCGGAUUAAUGCCGGAUAGCCCCACAUCCCUGCGGGGAACGUGGGAAAAGGUAGCUUCGGCCUCUGGCCGAGGAUGGGUCCGCGGUGGAUUAGCUUGUUGGCGGGGUAACGGCCCACCAAGGCGACGAUCCAUAGCUGGUCUGAGAGGACGAUCAGCCACACUGGGACUGAGACACGGCCCAGACUCCUACGGGAGGCAGCAGUGGGGAAUCUUGCGCAAUGGGCGAAAGCCUGACGCAGCGACGCCGCGUGCGGGAAGAAGGCCUUCGGGUUGUAAACCGCUUUCAGGAGGGACGAAGCCACUCGGGUGAAUAGCCCAGAGGGUGACGGUACCUCCAGAAGAAGCCCCGGCUAACUACGUGCCAGCAGCCGCGGUAAUACGUAGGGGGCAAGCGUUGUCCGGAUUCAUUGGGCGUAAAGAGCGUGUAGGCGGCCAGGUAGGUCGGUUGUGAAAACUGGAGGCUCAACCUUCAGACGUCGACCGAAACCAUC